rnacentral:lncRNA from 1 species
AAAAAAUGGAUAUAGGCUCAAAGGGGGUUAACAAAGGAUAUAAUAAUGCGGGAUGGCUAGAAAGGCUCGGGGUUAAUUACAAACAACGUGUCUCAGUGUGUGUAUCAUGUAGUGACAGUCCCAGGGAGUCUACGCAAAUUCAGAGUGAUAAAGACAAACCUGAAUGACGCUCAUGAUGAUUAAUGUGUUUGGCCUUUUCUGAGUCACUUGGUUUGGUUCAGCUUUGAC